UCUCAAAGAUUAAGCCAUGCAUGUCUAAGUUCACACUGUCUCACGGUGAAACCGCGAAUGGCUCAUUAAAUCAGUCGAGGUUCCUUAGAUGACACGAUCCUACUUGGAUAACUGUGGCAAUUCUAGAGCUAAUACAUGCUUACCAAGCUCCGACCCUCGUGGAAAGAGCGCUUUUAUUAGUUCAAAACCAAUCGUCGUUGCCCUUCGCGGGGCGCGGCGUCCCAACUGGUGACUCUGGAUAACUUUGUGCUGAUCGCAUGGCCUUCUGUGCCGGCGACGCAUCUUUCAAAUGUCUGCCCUAUCAAAUGUCGAUGGUACGUGACAUGCCUACCAUGUUUGUAACGGGUAACGGGGAAUCAGGGUUCGAUUCCGGAGAGGGAGCAUGAGAAACGGCUACCACAUCCAAGGAAGGCAGCAGGCGCGCAACUUACCCACUCCCGGCACGGGGAGGUAGUGACGAAAAAUAACAAUACGGGACUCUUUCGAGGCCCCGUAAUUGGAAUGAGUACACUUUAAACCCUUUAACGAGGAUCUAUUGGAGGGCAAGUCUGGUGCCAGCAGCCGCGGUAAUUCCAGCUCCAAUAGCGUAUAUUAAAGUUGUUGCAGUUAAAAAGCUCGUAGUUGGAUCUCAGGCGCAGGCGGGCGGUCCGGCUCGCGCCGGUUCACUGCCCGUUGUCUCCUGCCCUACCGUCUGCCGGCUCUCUCCCGCGGGUGCUCUUCGCUGAGCGUCCCGGGUGGCCGGCGCGUUUACUUUGAAAAAAUUAGAGUGUUCAAAGCAGGCCCCAGCUGCCUGAAUAAUGGUGCAUGGAAUAAUGGAAUAGGACCUCGGUUCUAUUUUGUUGGUUUUCGGAACUGGAGGUAAUGAUUAACAGGGACAAACGGGGGCAUUCGUAUUGCGGCGUUAGAGGUGAAAUUCUUGGAUCGCCGCAAGACGAGCUACUGCGAAAGCAUUUGUCAAGAAUGUUUUCAUUAAUCAAGAACGAAAGUCAGAGGCGCGAAGACGAUCAGAUACCGUCGUAGUUCUGACCAUAAACGAUGCCGACUAGCGAUCCGCAGGAGUUGCUUCGAUGACUCUGCGGGCAGCUUCCGGGAAACCAAAGUUUUUGGGUUCCGGGGGAAGUAUGGUUGCAAAGCUGAAACUUAAAGGAAUUGACGGAAGGGCACCACCAGGAGUGGA
rnacentral:rRNA from 1 species